rnacentral:rRNA from 1 species
UACGUAGGGGGCGAGCGUUGUCCGGAGUUACUGGGCGUAAAGGGCACGCAGGCGGUCAUGUAAGUCUGUUCUGACAGCUCCUGGCUCAACCGGGAGAGGCGAACGGAAACUGUAUGACUUGAGGACUGCAGAGGGACACGGAAUUCCGGGUGGAGUGGUGAAAUGCGUAGAGAUCCGGAGGAACACCAAAGGCGAAGGCAGUGCCCUGGGAAGUACCUGACGCUCAGGUGCGAAAGCCAGGGGAGCGAACGGG